rnacentral:rRNA from 1 species
AACGAACGCUGGCGGCAGGCCUAAUACAUGCAAGUCGAACGAUCCGCAAGGAUAGUGGCGCACGGGUGAGUAACGCGUGGGAAUGUGCCCCAAAGUUCAGAAUAACCACGGGAAACUGUGGCUAAUACUGGAUAUGCUGAGAAGUGAAAGAUUUAUCGCUUUGGGAUCAGCCCGCGUUGGAUUAGCUAGUUGGUGGGUAAUGGCCUACCAAGGCUCCGAUCCANAGAUGGUCUGAGAGGAUGAUCAUCCACACUGGGACUGAGACACGGCCCAGACUCCUACGGGAGGCAGCAGUAAGGAAUAUUGGACAAUGGGCGCAAGCCUGAUCCAGCCAUGCCG